UUCUGCAUAUCAUUAUGACACAUUCUUACUCAGAUUCACGGUAUCUAUCGAUAUAUACCAAUUAUGAAACUCAUUGUCACUGAUAUAAUCAUACCUAAUUCAUUGUUAUGAAUAAAACAUUUCAGACUCUGCUUGGUGGUACUCGGAUUAACACCUUCAAAUGGUGUUCUUCCUCAACAGCCCUAUCUAUGCACACCAAGAGCUUUGCAGUUCUCAAACACUGCUGUUACACUAUUGUUUGGCGCUGUUAAAAAAUUUUGGUGUGCCUUGGCUCUGUUGCAAGCGGAGGCUAACAUACAAUCCAAUAUCCUUUCAAUCUUUUGGACAAAACCAGCCUUUUUUCUCACAUUUGUAUCUGUUUUGCAAUUGGAUAUUUGUUCUUUGAUGGUGUGUCUUGAUAGUGUUGGGAGUUUUCGUAUCAAGAGGUGGAAUGUUGAAGCAUACGAGAUUUUUCUGCCAGCGUUUUGGCUCUGUUUUGUUCUAUUGAUUUUCCUCCUUUGUUAUAUGUUUUUUCUUAUCAUUUGCUAUUUAUAAAAAUAGGAAUGUUUUCUCCCAAAACAUUAUCUCUCUAAUUUGUAGUAGAGCUAUGGGGUGGAGCCUAUGUAGCAUCAGAAUCUACAAUUUCAUUUGGUGAUCUCUACUCCUAUUAUAAAUUCUUCACUUUUCUUUGACAUAAUUGAAAGUCUAAUAUUCUUAAGUCGUUCACGAGUUCUCUUCACAUUGCUCGGUUUUUAUUGAGGAUAUAGUUUCCUCGCCUCUAUCAUUAUUCAAUGAUUGAGUAAUGCUCUUAAAAAUAAAAGAAUAUUGAGAUAUGCAUUUACCCAUUUUGCGGCGAUUUGAUUUCUAGAUAUCUAAAUCAAGCCUCUACCUGAAUUGCGAAUUAUUUUCAUAUUCUUCAGAUUCUUAUUAUUGCACGACUUCUCGAUUUACUCCUUAAUGAUUUGCACUUGGCUGUUUCAGUUGAGAAAGUUCUACUGAUCUGUAUUCUGACAGGGAAUAAGUUUCCGUAAUUCCGGAGAAGUUAGUUCUACGGAUUUUGAUCUGUAUAUUGACAGGGAAUAAGUUUCCAUAAUUCUGGAGGAGUUGGGGAAGCUUGGCGGGCUUCUCUUUAUUAUGUUGAUCUGUAACUUGGUGGUUUGAAGAAGUAUGCAAUUAUUCUUUCUUUCUUCUUGGUUCUUUUUAUACAAUUCAUUUGUCACAGUAUGAUUUUUUGUAUAUCUAUCAUGUGUUGACAGAGUAAGUGUUACAUGAGUUUUGAUGUACCACAUGAAGUUGGUGCAGCUUGGUGGGUCUUUCUUUGUUAUGUUGAUCUGCGACUUGGUGGUUUUAAGAAUUAUCCUAUUAUUCUUUCUUUUUUCUUGGUUCUUUUUCUACAACUUAUUUGUCACAGUAUAAAUUUUUGUAUAUCUGUCAAGUGUUGACAGAGUAAGUGUUGCAUAGGUUUUGAUGUACUACAUAAAAAUUCUUAAUCACAGUGCUCUUCUUUGAUUCGUCAUCCGAAGCGGAAAAGUUGGAGACAAGUAUUUCUUCUGCUUUGUAUUACUCUCCUUCUGUGAUCGAAUCAACAAGGACAUGUGAACCAUAAUGAUAUUUGGAUAUGUGUUUUAAUUUGGUGAUCUCUACUUAGAUUAUGAAUUCUUUACAGUUCAGUAUUUUGUUUCAUCAUACACGCUUGAUUCCUAUCAUAUUUGGGAUAAAAUUCUGCAUUAUUCUAUAAUACGCAAUUCUUCCAUUUGUGUUUAGUUGUGUUUCUAUAUUCGUGACAUGAGUUUUACUUUGGCUUAGAGCAUACAAGAUUAUGGGCUAACUCCGCUCUUCCAAAAAUGAGGAAUUUUUGAUAAGUUGGUUAGGUAAGAUGAUUCUUUUACAUUUAUACUCCUAAAAUGAUAUCGUCUUCAUUACCCUGGCCUAAGGGCUCCUCUGUAUUAGGUGGAAGCUUAAAUUGUGAUGGAAAUUAACCAUAGUGUUUUGUCGACUGUGAUGUCAUGGUUUAAUUUAGUCAGCUAUCUACUAAGAAAGACACUUCAUAUUUCCGUCUUUUUUAUUGAUACUCAGCAAUUACAUAAAUCCGAUCCUGAGUUUUCUUGGUGGGUGUUAUAAGGGAGACACAGGUUGAAUUUGUGGUGUUCUAUGGCCUGUGGCAUGCAGAGGUUAUCAUACUGUCCUUUCAACCUUUCUUACAAUGUGUUUGAUUAUGGAUUGAGGAUACUAUUUCUUUGAUGGUGUGUCCUGGUAGUAUUGGAGUUUGUGUUUUUAUAUCAGGAAUUGGAACGUUGAAGCAUACAAGAUUCUAGAGUAUAUCUUUCUACCUGCACUGAAGAUGAUGAAUUCAGAAGGCUUUUUUUUUGUUCUGUUAGUUUCCAUCUUUCUUUGUUUUAUCCUUGAUUUUUAAGUUUAAUUUAUUCAUGGGAGAGAAAGGAGAGGCAAUCCAUGAAUUUAUGGUGUGCUUUGGCCUGUGGCAAGUUGUCCAUUCAACCUUGGGAUAAAAUUCGUCACUUUUUUAAAUAUUUGUUUUGGGAUUGAGGGUAUUUGCCCUUUGAUGGUGUGUCCUGGUAGUAUUGGAGUUUGAGUUUUUGUAUCAAGAUUGUACUAAAUAUGAAGAAUUCGGGAGGCUUGGCGCUUUUCUAUUCGGUUGGUUUUCAUCUUUCUUUGUUCUAUCCUUUUUUUUUGUUUUUUAAGUUUAGUUGAUUCUUAAGAAUCUCUAUUUUAUUUAUGUGCAGUAUUGGUUACUUUACUCUUCUAGACUGGUGGAAUCAUUUGUUCCACCGACCUCAUCUUGGUUUGAAAAAUUACAUUUUCCUUUUCCUUCUUUUUUUUUAUUGACAUGUCUGUCAUAGUGGUGUAAGGAAGAAUAACUUGGUGGCAUCAUUUUGUUGCCACUUAAUUUGCAAAAUUACACUUGGCCAUUUUCCCUCUUUUUUUAUUGACAUCACUGUCACAGCAUCAUGUAAGAAAUGUGUAAGGGUCUAUUUUGUCAGCAUAAUAAGCAGCAUGCUUUUCUGUAGAUGGAGGAAUUUGGAAUAGCUGAUUUGCCACAUGGUUUGGAGAAUUACACUUCUAGCAUCAUGUAAGAAAUGAUAAUUCUAUGAGGGUUUGAGUGGGCCUGCAUAGUGUUUGGAAAACAUAUAUUUUAGACUUUUGGUCAAGCUUCGAUGGACUUGAGGAUGCUUUUCUAUACCCUUCAUUUAUCCGGUGAUGUACAUAAAAUUCAAUCUUUUCUCGUAAGAUGAUAUUUCUUUGUUAUUGCUGCAUAUAGAACACAUGAGAUUGAAAAUUUUCCCGUUAGUUGAUAAUUCUGUUAUUGCUGCAUAGAACACCACAUAAUUUUUUUUUUCUUUUUUCAUUUUUAUUCUUGUCAUAUGUGAUUUAUAAGACUAAACUAAAAAUCUUCUCUCCUAUAUGGGUAUCCCUCAGCGAAUCUACAAUUGGUGCAAGAACUUGGCAUAAGGGAAGCUUAAUUGAGCACAAGAGCCUAUAAUUGAUUGAUUGUUGUACUUUCGUAUGGCGAUCUCUACUAUGACUAUUAAUUCUUCAUGUUUCUUUGUAUAUAUUAAGGUCUUGUUUUCUCGAUUUCUUUGCAAGUUCCAUGUAGGGGUCACAUGGAAUAUGUGCUUAGAUGAUUGUCGUGGACAUUCUGCUGCUUGAUGUUUCAUGGGAGAGAGGUUAUGAAACUAAAAAUCACCUCUCCCGUAUGGGUAUCCCUCAUAGAAUCUGCAAUUGGUGCAAGAACUUGACAAAAGGGGAGCUAAAUGACAUAAGAGACUGCAAUUGGUUAUUGUUGUUGUACUUUCAUCGGGUGAUAUUAUUUUUUUGGAUUUCUUCAUAAGUUUCCUCUAGACGUCAUAUGGAAUAUUCUUACAGGAUUGUAGUGGACAUUUUGCUCAAUGAUUCGUUGGAGAGUGUCAUUUUUUUUCCUCGAAUGUACAUUCUAAAAACAUAUGUGUCCUAUUAGAGUGUAAUGAGGUAAUGACGAUUUUUGUGUUUUGCAGAAGGAAUACAAGUAUUAGGAGAGCUUCAGUAUUUAUGGUUA